rnacentral:misc_RNA from 1 species
GAUGAAGAACGCAGCGAAAUGCGAUAAGUAAUGUGAAUUGCAGAAUUCAGUGAAUCAUCGAAUCUUUGAACGCACAUUGCGCCCGCCAGUAUUCUGGCGGGCAUGCCUGUUCGAGCGUCAUUUCAACCCUCAGGUCCCCCUUUUCGGAGGGGGAGACACCCUGGUGUUGGGGGACGGCAUCCUGGCCCGCUGUCUCACAGUGUGCCACGCCGCCCCCGAAAUGAAUUGGCGGCCUCGUCGCGUGCCACCCCUGCGUAGUAGCACAACCUCGCAACGGGAGCCCGACGCGGCCACUGACGUAAAACGCCCAACUUUUACCGAGUUGACCUCGAAUCAGGUAGGAAUACACGCUGAACUUAAGCAUAUCAAUAAGCGGAGGA